GUGGGGAAUAUUGGACAAUGGGCGAAAGCCUGAUCCAGCCAUGCCGCGUGUGUGAAGAAGGUCUUCGGAUUGUAAAGCACUUUAAGUUGGGAGGAAGGGUAGUAACCUAAUACGUUGCUACUUUGACGUUACCGACAGAAUAAGCACCGGCUAACUUCGUGCCAGCAGCCGCGGUAAUACGAAGGGGGCGAGCGUUAUUCGGAAUCACUGGGCGUAAAGCGUGCGUAGGCGGUUUUGUAAGUUAGGAGUGAAAGCCCAGGGCUCAACCUUGGAAUUGCUCUUAAAACUGCAAGGCUCGAAUCUCGGAGAGGAUAGCGGAAUUUCCAGUGUAGCAGUGAAAUGCGUAGAUAUUGGAAGGAACACCAGUGGCGUAAGCGGCUAUCUGGACGAGUAUUGACGCUGAGGCACGAAAGCGUGGGGAUCAAACAGGAUUAGAUACCCGGGUAGUCC
rnacentral:rRNA from 1 species